GUGAAUCAUCAAAUUUUUGAACGCAAAUUGCACUCUCUGGUAUUCCGGAGAGUAUGCCUGUUUGAGGGUCAGUUUAUAUAAAAAUCGGUGUGGUUGCUGCCUUUCGUGGUGCUGCGCCGGAUUUGGGUCGUCUUGCCUUCGGUUAAGUGACUUAGAAUUUUGCAUGAUUUUUUUAGAACGUAUUUAAAUGAUUUUACGUACGUUUGUGUUAUCGUAUGCUAGGGGUGGUGAUCAUUAUGAUUCGC
rnacentral:misc_RNA from 1 species